AGGGAGAGAGGAAGGAAGGAAGGAAGGAAGGGAAAAUUGGUCCUAAACCUUAGAGUUAACCCGGAACAUUUGAACACGUCAAUCAAAACCACUGCUGUUUUUGAUCAGAGAUGAUAAGAGUCAGGAUAACUAUUCACGUUCAGAAAAAGUUCCAGGGAGUAGUGGUCACUCUGAGGUCAGUUUCCACCAACUGGAGAAGGUAUUUGCCCAAACAAAAGCAUGAGAUUGCAGGUGCAUUACUGGCUGUAGAUUCCAGAACAGAGGUCAGAGAAGUCUUCUCUGGUCCUAGAGAUGGCUGGACAGACCAAGUCUGGGCCACUGAUGACCUAAGAUAUGGGCAGAGAUUGGGGCUUAAGACAGGCUGAUCACUCAGCAAUGCUCCUAUAGGUAUGGAGAUGCAUAACCUGCGAAGAGAUGGCUGCUCAGAUAGGACACAGUAGAAAACUCUUCUAGCAAGCUAGAGUUGGUCUGAAAUUGGAAUUGGCUGCCUCAGAAGACAGUGAGAUAUUCAUGCAUCAUUUUCCAACAGAUGCUUCAUGACAAUUGGCAAAGCAUAAUCUGGUCCCUGCCUGCUUCUGCAGCCUUCUCAUUUCUUCUUGCAUGUACUCUAGUCUCAGCUCCAGACUAGCUGAAAUGUGGCAGCUUCCUGAAUGGACCACAUUCCCUCUCACCUCCCCACCUUUGCAGAAGCUUCCCCUAAAUUCCCAGCACUUGUUUUCUUAUGACUAGUCUCCGUUCAUCCUUUAUCCAUAGCUUAACCUAACACUCCUCUGGAAAAUCUCUCUGGCAGUCCACCCCAGAAAGACUAGCUGUCCCUCUCUCUGUCUUUCCACAGCGUCAUCUACUUCUCCACUUAAAAUGAUAGCUACCACGUAGCAAGUGUGUUUGCUAAAUGAAUAACAGGAUGAUUUGGUACGUGCCAGGCACUAUGUUAAAUAUUUUAAAAUAUUUAAUGUCAUUUAAUCCUAGAAGAGCCUUAUGCGUUCAGUGCUAUUAUCAUCCCAUUUAACAGAGAAGAAAUUGAUGUUUAAAGAGGUUAAGUCAUUACCUAAGGAUUCACAGGUUCCAGAAGCAAGAAUCAAAUACUGACUAGUUUGAUUGCCAAAUCCACGCCCUUUAAUCCACCCAUGCUGCCAAAUUCAUUCCUUUUGUGUGGAUGUGGCUACUGAGGAGGAUCUAAUGAGACAAGCUGAUCUGACUCCCUCUAACAUGCCUUGGGAUGAUUUUGUGGUACUUGGGGGCUCAGGGGUCUGAGGGAGCUGCAGUCAUAUCCCAGCUCUUCCCUAAUUAGCUGGGUGUCAACGAGCAGCACACUUCAUCUCUGAGUCCCAGUUUCCUCUUCAGCAAAUUGGUGAAAUAAUGACUAUCUUCGCAGACGUCAGGAGGACAAAAUGAGAAGCUGUAUAGAAGAUGCACGACGUUUGCUGUGAAAAAAGAUGCUGUGAAAGAGCAGGGGUCUCCCUUUCCCUAAAGGAAGCAAUUUAUCUCUGCUACCUUGUGCCAGUUAAACUGCACGGGCUCAAUAACUUAUGUUUUGGUCCGAUCUUUUUAAUUUUUCUAAAGCGGAAUCCAAGUUUUUGUUGGCAAGUGAUUGAACACACUGGGGCCCAGCCUCCGGGCCCACAGUCCAUUAGGGAAUUUACGAGGGAGAUCAGAACCUUCAACUCAAGUACUCCCUUCAGAGGCAGUACUUACAAAGCCAUCAAUUUCCUUAACAAAGAGCAUUGGCUUAAAUGCCCCUUAAAGCAGUGUUAUUUACACAGCUACCCACUUCCUUUUGAAUUCUCUGGCUGGGGGGUGGCCUACCUGCAGUCCUUUCCAGCUACUAGUUAAUUAGGCUCCCUCCCUGAAAGGUCUUGGUUUUGAAAAGCAGCUUGAUUUUGGAUUAUCGGAGAGUUCUAGUGGGUGAUCUAAGAAACCACCAAAAUCACUGGUUCUAUCCAUCCCUUCUUCUAAAAUCCUAAAACAUUUGGAGGUUGUCAAAGAGUUAUGACCAUGGUCACUAUUGAGAUAUAGAAUAAGAAUUACAUUGGAACCCGUCUCUCCUUUACACAAAGCUCAAAGAAAAAUCAAGAACAUAUCAAUAUAGUAAUACUGCCAUUUUCUAGAUGAGGAAACUAAAGGGGUCCUCACUCCUUUUGUGGCAGAACUAGGGUUUCAACACAAGCCUCUGAGCUCCGGAAUCUGGGCAGGAAACUAGCCCUCUGAGCUGCUGGAACUGAGAUAUACUGCCCCCAACAACAGCUAGAAAGUGGAAAGCCUGCUAUUUGAACUGAAGUUUGUCUGACUCUAAAGAGCAACAAGCUCUACAACAAUUUGUUGCCUGAAAAAUAAAACUGUCUCGAGAAACAUAUUCUUCCUUUACUCAUUUAUUCUAUAUUUACCGAGCCGCAAAUUAUUUGCCAGGUCCUGGACGGAAUCCUGGGAAGUCAGAGGAAUUCAACCUGGUCUCAGCACUCUAGGAGCUCGGUCUAGUGAGAAGGGCAAGCAAAUAAAUUACUGAUUGCACAGGAUUUUGUUCUGAGGUAUGAGAUGCUGCAGGAGCACAGAAGAGGGACCCCCAAACUUCAAUCUUACCCAAACUUGGGAAGGUUUCCCUUAGGAGAUAAUACCUGGGCUGAAUCUCUGAGAGGAGGAAGAGGUGAUGGGAAGACAUUCCAGGCAGGUGGACUCUGAGCAAAUGAAGGGAAGCUGGAAACAGUGUGGAGGUGCAAAGCAACAUGUUGGAGCACAAAGUGCAAAUGACUGGAUCGGACUACACUGGCCUUGAAUGCCAUAGUAAGGAAUUCAAAUUUGUCUCAAGGGCAUUGCUGAGCCACUUGAUGCUUUCAAAUGGAGAGUGACAAAAUGAUAUUUGCAUUUUAGGAAGCUUGCUCUCACUAUACUGGAGGAUAGAUGGAGGCAAGGAAAGACGGAGAACCAGGAGCCUGUUAGAGUUCUCUUGCAAUAACCCUGGCAGGAGCUGAAGUGGGGAUGGGGGACGGAACUCAGGGAGAGCGAUGAAGGUAGGGAGAGAGAGGAGGGACUGAGGGCGAAAAAGUUUUCAAAGUAAAAUGGGCAGAAUAGCAAUUAUUUGAUUGUGGGAAAUGACAGAGAGGGAAGAGUUAAGGAUGUUUCCAUUUCCAGUUUAAAUGUCUGGUUGGCUAGUGGCGCCACCAGUUGAGACUAAGAAAAACAGGAGUUGCAGUAGGUCUGGAAGGAAAAAUGGUAAGCCUUGUAUUCACUGUGUUGAGUUUGAGCGCCUGUGGGUCAUCCAAUAAAGUAAUUAGAAAUACACGUCCAUAGGUCAAGAGACAGUCCCCAGACUGAAGAUAGAGAUUUGGGAGGCUUCAGUUUUGAAUGAUGGGCUCAGGAAGAGUGGGAAGUGGGCCCAUCAUGGAAUUUGGAGUGUGCUAAUAUUUAAAGGAUGGGCAGAAGAAGGUCUGUGUAGGGAUGGCCAGAGAGGUUAAGGAAACUUGGAAGAGGGUAACACUUCAGAAGCCCCAGGAGUUCAGAACUUCAAGGUGAGGGAGAAAUAUACUGAAAUCUGUCUAUCUCAUCACGCUACAUAAUAGAGUCCCGUUCAUCCUUUCGCUGAGUAAUGAUUCUCAAUCUUCUGCCUGAUCUCUGCCAGGGACAGUGUGUGCUCUCCUUGUAAGGAGUAGAUUCUUAUUUUUAAUAACUCUAAUAAUCAAUAUUUAUUGAUCACUUUCUGAAGAACAGGAACUGCUCUAAGCACAGCAGAGCUGGCACCCUCAGUGCCUAGCAUGGACGUGACAUGUGAAAGGUUCUCCGUAAAUAUGCGAUGAAUAAAUUCAUAAAUGAAUGAAAGAAUACAUUAUAGUACCCUACGAAGUAAAGAACAUCACUCCCAUUUCACAGAUGGAAAAAGAAAGGGAGACCAAGCCUGGAGCAGAGAAGUGGUCCCCUGUGCUUCUGGGUCAGGUCAAUUGCCUUCUCCUCUCAUGCUCCCUGGUUGGGCGUUCUCUUGGCAAAAGGCACGAAAACAAAUGGAAAGUUGAUGGGUUGAAGACACUCACGCAGACCUCUCGUCAGUAAUGAGGCUGAACUCAAGCUAUACGAGUGGUUUUGGACUUCUGAACUGAGGGACCAGCUCCAGCCGGGAGCUUUCACAGUCCUGCCAACAGUGGCGGUUAAAAGUUUAGUUCAAUCUUAUGGAUAAUUUGAGCUGGGUUUCUGACUGGCAUUGAAAGCCAAAAUCACUCUUAUUUCUCUUCAGGUCAGUUUGCCAAGAGUAUUUUAUUGGCCCUUGAAGAGCAUCCCACGGUGGGGAAGGUUGAUCUGAAAACACUGCUCCCAGCGUGGCAUGCUCCUGCCCAGAAACCACUACUCACUACAGGAUCACACCUCCCACCCACCCAUCUUGCGGCUACCCUGAGUCGCUUUCUUUGGGACUAAUCUACGCACGGUACCCCCAAAAGAACCCUCAAUCUGGACCUUUAUAGUGGCAGAGCUAUGCGAGUGACCCUACUAAGCCCGGCUGUCCGGGAAGCUUUCACGGAUUUACGAGCUCCCCCACCAGGGCCUGACUCCUCUUGGGGUCCCCUCACAGCAAUCCUUACGUAUGCUUAAUGACCCCUGUCCUCUGAAGUCCUCCAGUGAAGGACUUCUGCUGCUGCUGCUUGUCACUCCCGUCUGCACCCUGCCUAGCACAGAGCUUUGUAUGCAGCAAGUGCUUAAUACAUAUAGACAAAAACUAGUGUGAGAUUGGUCACAUUAGCUUCCAGCUGUCUUUGGAGGACCCCCGUGGCUGCUGUCUGGAAGACAGAGAAGGCAACCUUAGUGCCUGUAAGCUGGGCUGCAGACACUGGGAGCUGGGAGUAUAUUAUCUUUCUGUCUGGCAAAUUAAAAAAUGGAAAAUGCAGUCCCUUCAAAAUUACUGUAAUUUCAAAUUUGCUUUAUCUUAAUUUUUUCUUGUUACUUAAUCAGUGGCAGCAAAGAAAAAGUCGCUUUUCGUUUCUCCCUCUGUUAAGUAGUUAAUGAUCUGUAAACAAACACUUCAGACAGUGUUUCUUAAAGAGACCCCAGGAUCUUUUUGUGAUGGGAAGAUUCCUUUUGCACUGGGCAUUGUUUCCCCUUCUCAUUAUCUGUUUGCAAGUAGGCUGUUCAGCUCUUCAGAGUACACAUUUUUUUCAUUAGAUAAGCUUAAUGAUCAAGAGGUAGCAUAAAUUAGUAGUUUAGCCUGAGGGCUUAAGAGCCAGACUUCCAGGGCAGGAAUCCCUUACUGGGAACCCUGAGUAAAUGACUUAACAUCUCUGGGCUUUUCCCUUAUCUAUAAAGCAGGCAUAAUUUUAAAACUACUUCAUAGGGUGAGCACAAUUAAUCAAAGGAGGUAAUAGAGAAAGCAUUAAAUUAAUUAAAUCAAUACCGAGCUAUUUCUACUAUUACGACUAUUGUCUGGGAUGAUGCGAUGGAAGACACCUUGUUCUGAAGGUCUGGUAUUUUGGAGAAGGACUCCAGCUCUGCUAGUUGGAGUUGAGCAGAUCUUGGUUCAAAUCCCAGCUCUGCCACGUAAGAAUCACCUGCUUCGAACAAGUCACUUUAUCUCCCUGAGCCUCAGUUUCUCAUUGUAUAAAAUGGGAGUAACGGCCCUGCCUUCCUGCAGCCUCCUGAAGAUCAAGAGGGAGCUGAGUGCCUUGCGUGUGUGUGUGGCAGCCAGCCGGCAUGGGAUGCGGCAUUCACGAAGGGCCUGUCUUCAAAUCAAGGGAAGCUUUAUUUCCAGGAGGUAUUUUGGUGAAAGUUCCCAUGUUUUCCGCAGAGGAAGGUCUGAAGGCAUACAUGCAGCCGGGAGAAGUUUUAUUUUGCUUUUUUAAUUUUAAUUUUUUGGUAAGGUGAGAGGUGGAUCGUCUAUUAUGAUUUCGCAUUGUUAAAAAGAAAAAUAAUAAUACAUGCAACUCCCAGCAGAGCCCAGUCUUCCUCUCCCUUCCAGUCCCCCUCCCCCCACCAGAUGCUGUUUUCCUUUUCAGUCACUGUUGUUUUAAAGUCUCAUCAGAACAUCCACCAAGAAGUCAUGGCGAUUCAUCUUCUUGUUUUCCUUUCUCGCCUGGGCUUGGAGCAGGCCAGGGCGGCCUGACAGAGGGACCACAAGGCUUGGUGACCCCCACCCCUCCCAGUGACUGGUGGGGAGGCAGAUUGAUCCCCCCUCCUUCCCCUUAUCUGGCUCACAGAUAAUUGAGUUAUUGGCCCUGGCUCUAGGACCGGGCUGGAGAUGCUGCGUCAGGGACUAGAGACAAAGUGAUGUUAAUGACAGGGGAUGGGGGAGAGGAGAGGAGUGAGGAGGGAGGGAGAAAAUGAGACACACAGAGUGUGUGUCUGUCUGGGAAAGACAACGUGGGGGUCCGUUGGCUUUGUUUUCCUAACUACAUAUCAGCAGCCAGCAGGAUUUGAAACCCCAAAGCCUUUAAAUGAAUGUUUGACAAAUCAAGGAUUCUUCAGCAUCAGACAGAGAAAGAAGCUGGAGAGCCCUCAGCCCAAUCCCUCUCAUUUCACAAGGGGAGAACCUGAGGUUCCGAGAUGCUAAGCUGCAGCCCAGGCUCUCAAGUCUAAACUGAGACCUGGACCCAGCUAUCCUGAAGGACACAAGGUGGUUAAUCAAAACAGAGCAUGAGGAGUCAUCCACAAUCACUUCUCCUGGAAUGGAUUAAAUGUCAUCUCAGAAGGUAGCAGAUUUCCAGCACCAGCUCAAGAUAUAUUACUAAGUAUAACCCCUUUUGGGGAUGCUUCACAUUUUGUCUGACUAAUUUGACCAUUACCUUCCCUCCUUCAGCUUUUAUCAGCAGCCUGUCUGUAGUUUAUGACUCAGUGCUUUAGAAACAGAAUUCCCAACGCUGCCGAACAAUGCCUCCAGCCAGUGCCUGUUGGGGGAGUUAUCAUUUUACUGAUACCACAUUUUUUCACUGAAACCUCAGGCCUGGUGUAUGUUAUAUUUUAAAAAGGGGGGAAAGGACAAGAUAAUUUCCACAUUGCCAGGGAUGUAGCUUGCAUUGCCUAAGAGAUCUUGUGGGCGGUGUUCCUUUUAACAAGUAACUUAUUAUGUACUGGGGGAUGAGGACGCUGCGGGCAGGAAAGUGGGAAAGGGAAGUCCCAGGGUGUUGCAUAAUAAUACAGUGGCACCUUGGGAAUACUUCCGGAUGUGUGGGCUUCUGAAAAGUGAAUGGGAAUGCCACCAUAAAUCUGUCACCUACCCUCACACUGGUGUUACCAAAGCCAGGGAAAACAUUAGCCCUAUUAAAUGUUUGGUGACAAAAAAUAAAAGAGAAGAAAGAAAUGAAAGAAGGAAGGAGGGAAGGGAAGAAGGAAAGAAGAAAGGAGGAAGGAAGGAGAGAAGGAAGGAAGGAAAGAAGUGAAGUGGGAAGGUAAGGAAGGAGGGAGGGAGGAAGGAACUCAUUCAGAUGAAGGCAGAAUGAAAGAGUAGAAAAAGCAAGGGAUCUCUACUCCAUCUGGAGAUGGGAUCACACCUCUACGAGCUAUUUGACCUUGGGCAAGUUAAGACAUCACAGCUCCCUCAUCUGGAUAUAAGAGACCUCACAUAGGCUCACAUUAAACAAAGGUGGAUGACACAGGGUGUACCACCUAAUGGGUAUCCAUAAAUAGUGCUUGUUGCUGAUACCCCUCAACAUACACACAUACCCACACCCCCCACACACAAAAACACAGAGAAAAGUAAUAGUUAAUGUGCAUCAAGCACAUCCAACUUGCUAUGAAUGGGGCUAAACCUCAUAGUAUCUUAUGACAACAAUUUUCAGUCAAGGUUCUAAGUGACAAUCAACAGAAACCAACUCUGGCUAACUUAAGUAAAACAAGCAAACAAACAAAAUCUAUUCAAAGAAUAUUGGCUACUUAAGGAAUACUCCUUGGGAGGGCUGGAGAGUCAGGCUUGCUUGCUCUGAAGCCCAAUUCCAAGCUCAAAUUAGGUCCCAGGGCUCGUCUUGUGAAGACACCUCAGAGCUUUGCUACACGUGGUCACUUCAGCACUAAUGUUACAUGCUGUCACUGGUACUUUGGAAACGCAUGGGUUGUGGCCACUCCCACCAUCCUUAUCAAAAUGGUUUCUGCAGGUCUCUAUGUCUUAUCACGACUAGUUUCUGAUUCAGUAUCUUGGGUGGGGGAGAGGGUAGGUCUUGUGCCCACACUCAAGCUAUAAGGGGGACUGGGAGAAGACUUUUGGAUUUUCAACGUCCAUAAUAGGUGUUGGGAUCUGCCUCAUGAUAAUUAUAACAAGGAGAGUUAUUUCUAGGAAAGGGGAUUCACAUAGUAAAUAUCAAAAAAUAUUGGUAAAUAUCUUUCACAGUUGAGUCCCAGACUUUCACCAUUUUUGGAUGAGAACACUGAAGCUUAGCCUAGGCCACAUGUCUAAGCCACAGCGUGAACCCAUCAGUCUCACUCAAGCCUGUUCUCUUGGCCACUAUCUUGACCACUGUCUUGACAAAAGUAAUGAUGAGAACAACGUCCACCUCAGCAAAGCCUACCACACUCCAGUCCCAUUUCUCUGACUCAUUAAAGCUGGAUCUGUUGGGAGCCAAAGAUUCACUGUGUUUUCUUCACCUAUUCUUCUUAGAGGAAGGUGGUUUUCUAGACUCAAAGCCAUGGAGUUUGUCCUCGGGAUGUAGUUCCUGGGAGGUGGGAUCUCUGGAUAGACUCCUUAAUGCCCGAAAUGCCCUGUGUCUCUAAUGGAAUUCUAAAUGGCAAGGGUGGAGGGCAUAGCUGAGGUCCUUCCUCUAACACAAAACACACUCAAUAUGCAGGGGUAAUAGAGAGCCUUCCCUGGACACCAUCCACACCACUGACAGUUUUGUAUUUCAGUCCAUUAAUUUAUUACAUGAAUUAUUCGACAGCUGUAUGUUCCUUGUUCAGCACCAAAGCUCCACUAGAGCAAGAGGAGUCUUUUUUUGCAGGUAGCUGACCACAGUGAGUUCUGGGGUCAGGCUCUCUGGGCUUGAGUUCCAGUUCUACCACUUAACUGCAUAUCUUUAUUUCACCUGCCCAUGCCUCAGCUUCCUCUUUUGUAAAAGCAGGACAAUAAAAGAGGUGUUAUGAGAAGGAGAGUUUAUAAAUGUGGUUGGUAUAUAACAGAUGUUCAGUAAAUAUCACCAUCAGCUGCAGAAUACUUACAACCUAUUAGAAAAUGACGGUAUAUAAAAUGGAUCCACGAGGGUCCAAGUCUCAUCCUAUUGGUAACUUCCUCGUCUUCUCUCCUUUCUUCUUAUGCAUCUCAGUUAACACAGCUUGAAAAUCACUGACCUCCUUCAAAAUGGUUGUUUUGGCCAAAAUACAAAGGGGAAGUGAGGCUCAAAAAGGCAACAUAAGCUACGGCUAUUUCUAACAUACUCUCCCAAACCUACCACUGUUUGCUUAAAAUUCAGUUCUUUUUCUAAGAAAGGGUGAACCAUCUUUUAAUUUUCACCUCCUUUCUGCACCAGGGUCCAAUAGCCAAGAGUAUCAAAGACUCCAAAUUCUUGGACCAGGGGUCAGCAAACGGUGUCUGUAAAGGGCCAGAUAGUAAAUAUUUUAGGCUCUUUGGGCCAUAGGGUCUUUGUUGCAACCACUCAACUCCACUGUUGUAGCAGGAGAGCAGCCACAGACAAUAUGUGAGGAAUGGGUGUGCUGUAUUUCGGUAAGACUUUAUUUACGAACAUAAUUCUGGCCCAGGGACUCUAGUUUGCAGACUCCUUCCAUGGACCAUGAGCUUCUACAUGUAAGGGGCUCCCUUGUUUUUGUUUAUUGCUACAUGAGAUGCUAAAGCAAACAGAACAUGGAUGUCAGGGCCCAAGCAUCUCUUUUAGGGUACCAUAUCCUACCUUCACCACAUCCUACCUUCUUCCCAGAAGCACUUAAGUUACAUGCCACCCUAGUGUGAAUGAAAUAGGUAGAUAUUUUCCAGCAUGAUCUGAGAGUAAUAUUGAGUGUCACGAGGGUACAAAGGCGAGGGUUUAGUUCAAGUAGAGCUCAGGAUUACGAGGAAUAGUCACACAUCUUACAAAUCACACAACAGAAGUGCAAGUAAGUUUCUUAAGAACCACUUAACCUAAUCUUUUCUAUUUAUAGGAUGGAAACUGAGGCCCAGAGCAGGGAAAUGACUUGGCCAGUUUUAUGCAGCAAGUUCUCAGCACAGCAAAGCCCAAAGAAAUGCCAGACUUACCGAUGCAAUUGAAGGAAACUUCCUGUCUGCAGAAAAGGGAGCAGCCAUCACCAUUGAUCUUAUUCAUGUCAUCGCAUUCCUCGCCUUGGCUUCUGCAGAACCGACAGAGAAGAGAAAUUGGUCACAUCAGCUUCAGAACCACAGCCGGACACAGAAAAGUUUCUUCCCUGGGCCAUGAACUAUCCAUGAGCCCUGGGGCAAGUCUCUUUCCCAGUUGGAGUCUCUGUUUCUUCAUCUUCAAAAUGAGAUGCAUAAAAGGUAUAAAUUUGUAGGAUGCGAUUGCAUUUGUCUUAUUUUGUGUUUCCCAGGACGAAGUAGAAUUCCUGCUUCCAACUCAUUCUCUGAGAUCUUGUCAGUUAUGUUGGUUAAGUCAGAUGAGAGCAAGAAAUGGAUGAACAGACCUUGCUCCUUUGUGUGUGGCAAUUCUCAUUGCAUUUUAAAAUGGUAGAUUUGAAGGAAAACUUGGAGUUUCUAAAUAUAUAAAUGCUGUUUUUCACGAAGCCCUGCCUCAAGUCCCUCCCAACUCCCCCAAUGCACCUAAAAGUAAAGAUAUUUUUUAUUCA